rnacentral:rRNA from 1 species
UCGAACGCGAAAGUGGAGCAUCCAUGAGUAGAGUGGCAAACGGGUGAGUAACACGUGGGUGACCUGCCUUCGAGCGGGGGAUAACGUCCCGAAAGGGACGCUAAUACCGCAUAACAUCCUGCCUUUUAAGAGGUGGAGAUCAAAGCCGGGGAUUCGCAAGAACCUGGCACUUGAAGAGGGGCCCGCGCCUGAUUAGCUAGUUGGUGGGGUAAUGGCCUACCAAGGCAACGAUCAGUAUCCGGCCUGAGAGGGCGGACGGACACACUGGGACUGAGACACGGCCCAGACUCCUACGGGAGGCAGCAGUGGGGAAUUGUUCGCAAUGGGCGCAAGCCUGACGACGCAACGCCGCGUGGAGGAUGAAGACCUUCGGGUCGUAAACUCCUUUCGAUCGAGACGAAUGUUUUUCGGCUGAAUAAUCCGGAAAAGUGACGGUACCGAGAGAAGAAGCCCCGGCUAACUCUGUGCCAGCAGCCGCGGUAAUACAGGGGGGGCAAGCGUUGUUCGGAAUUACUGGGCGUAAAGGGCUCGUAGGUGGCCAACUAAGUCAGACGUGAAAUCCCUCAGCUUAACUGGGGAACUGCGUCUGAUACUGGAUGGCUUGAGUUUGGGAGAGGGAUGCGGAAUUCCAGGUGUAGCGGUGAAAUGCGUAGAUAUCUGGAGGAACACCGGUGGCGAAGGCGGCAUCCUGGACCAACACUGACACUGAGGAGCGAAAGCCAGGGGAGCAAACGGGAUUAGAUACCCCGGUAGUCCUGGCCCUAAAC